AGACUAGGGAAACUCGGGGGAAGGGUACGCGCUAUUCAUUCAGAGAGGUUCUGCAGUUCCCCGUGGGCGGUGUCAACGGGCUGCUCAGCAAGGGCAACGAUGCCGAGAGGGUCGGGGGCUGCACGCUAGCGUACCUGCCGGCGGUUCUGGAGUACCUGGCCUCCGACACCCUGGAGUUGGCGGGCAACGCCGUCGGAACAAGAAGAAGACCCGCAUCAUCCCGCGCCACCUGCAGCUGGCCAUCCGCAACGACAAGGAGCUCGACAAGCUGCUGGCCCGAGUGACAAUGGCUUAGGGUGACGUUUUGCCCAACAUCCAAGCUGUGCUGCUGUCCCAAAGGAUUGGGAGCCACUACCACAAAGUCCAGUAUGAAUAACCACCCAAGUUGUAAAAGCCAGCGAAGUGACUUGAAUGUCUAAUGUCUAGAAGAAACAAAAACAAAAACAAAAACAAAAACCCCAAAGCUGAAAUCAAAGGCCCUUUUCAGAGCCACUCAAUUUCUGAGAAAGAGCUAGUUUACAAAAGGAUUACAAAAUGCUGUUUCGUCAAUAAGACUACAGCUUUCGUAAACAGGACUCAGAACAGUUCUGGUUAUUGGGGUAUCCGAAGCAGUUUCCUUUAAUACUCGGUAGUAUUGACAGCAGAACUUGAUGUUUCUGGGUGGAACUGUUUCAGCACCUACUUCAGGUAGGCAGAGCAGUGAUUAUAGCAGGCUCCUGGAAGGGAAAAUGCCAUUCUUCUUGGGAAAAUGAACAAACAAAUUAGGAUGUUAUUGUGACAACCUAUGUAAUUCCUGAGAAAAAUAAUGUGAAGAUGGGGAAUCAUAUUUUGGGGGUUGAAUUUUAGUUAGAGUGUCGAAUUAGACUAAAUGAUUAGAAGGAAAGGAAGAUUUGUAAACUUGCAGCUUUCAGCACAACUCUUGUUGGGAGAGCAUGACUGUAUGGACAUCAGUCAAGGAAUGGGCAUAUCUAAACAUACUCCUAGGGCGCAUGUUUUCUUCUGCCAAAGAAUUACCUUCCGAGAAUUCUAGGAUGGUUAUAUGUCUAGAAGACCGUAGCCAUGCUAUGUUAAUAAACCAAAAGAUAAAAGGUACAUACAGGCUUUUGCAUUUCUGAUGACUGGAUGGCCCCACUGGAUCCAUGACUCUUGACUCAACUGGUCCUAUGGCCACUACUCAGAAGUGGACUCAGCUUCAGGAAGGCCAUUUUCCCUAUCCCUAUGAUUGCUUUCUCAACCAAUCAGCAGCACCCAUUCCCUAGCCCCCUGCUUGCCAAACUAUCUUUGAAAAACCCUAGCCUCCAAAUUUUCGGGGAGGUUAGUUUGAGUAGUAAUAAAACUCUAGUCUCCCUUCUA
rnacentral:lncRNA from 1 species